rnacentral:rRNA from 1 species
GUGGGGAAUUUUGGACAAUGGGCGCAAGCCUGAUCCAGCAAUGCCGCGUGCAGGAAGAAGGCCUUCGGGUUGUAAACUGCUUUUGUACGGAACGAAACGGCUCUGGUUAAUACCCGGGGCUAAUGACGGUACCGUAAGAAUAAGCACCGGCUAACUACGUGCCAGCAGCCGCGGUAAUACGUAGGGUGCAAGCGUUAAUCGGAAUUACUGGGCGUAAAGCGUGCGCAGGCGGUUGUGUAAGACAGGCGUGAAAUCCCCGGGCGCAACCUGGGAAUUUCGCUUGUGACUGCACAGCUGGAGUGCGGCAGAGGGGGAUGGAAUUCCGCGUGUAGCAGUGAAAUGCGUAGAUAUGCGGAGGAACACCGAUGGCGAAGGCAAUCCCCUGGGCCUGCACUGACGCUCAUGCACGAAAGCGUGGGGAGCAAACAGGAUUAGAUACCCUGGUAGUCC